GAAAGGGAUAGGAAACUUCCGUUGCGUGGGCGGAUUAUCCAUUAAGAUUAUUAGGUUGCCUAGCAACAUAGGCAAGUUACCCUUCCCGGGCCUUUUCCUUCACUGUUCGGCGUCCUAUUUCAACUCAUAACUCUAAAGUGACUUGUGUUCAUCCUCUGCAAUGAUAAUUAAAGGCAUUAAAGAUACCUCCCUUACAGUCUGUUUAAUUUUUGAAGUAAAAUAAUAUUGAUAACUAUGGAAUACAAAAGAAGUAAUACCAGAAUUAACUAUUACCAACUAUUCUAUACAUUAUUAUGGAGGGCACGCAAAAUAAAUGACUCCGAUGACAGAUUUGCUGACUGAUUUAUAAUCAAUUCAAAGUUUUUGCAAAGACCUUUGUUUUGUACCUUUUUCUUUACAGUUCAAUGAUUGGCACAUU
rnacentral:lncRNA from 1 species